CCCUGGUCCUUGGGUGGUGUUUUCAAAUAUGUUACACGGCAUGUGGAAUAUGAUAUUGAACCAUGAGCACAAAACUUUUACAAAUGAGUAAUGAACACAAAAUCUCGCAAUUUUUGCUCAUUUACAGUGUUGAAUCACUCGAAUGUCGCAUCUUAGAUUUGUUAUAGAUAAUUCACACAAAGAAUUAACAUGAAUUGCACAUGCUAUUCGAACAAUAUUCUCUCAUUGCGGAACGAAAGUAAACUUUGUUCAUAAUCCAUACUUUGAACGUUGCUCAUGUACUGCAGCAUAAUAUAUAGACUAAUCUAAUCAAAGCAAAGUACAUAUGCACCACAAUGUACAAUAUAUAAGAAAGGGUUUAACAUGAACUUACCUUACGAAUUUCUGGUGAUCUUCUAGUCCACAGCAGCUGUGUAUGAAUGCUUGACAACGCCUCACAAUCGUUCCAAGUAUAGGCCUUUAUAU